ensembl:lncRNA
UGUGGAGAUGUGGCCCUGAGGGACAUGGGUUAGUGGGCAUGAUGGGGAUGGGCUGACAGUUGGAUUAGAUGAACUUAGAGGUCUUUUCCAGCUGUAGCAAUUCUACGAUUCUAUGAUCAUGAUUUUACUUUUGAUACUGCUGUAUAACCUGUGGCUGGCGAGUGCAAGGCUGAGCCUGUGCAGGGAUAUUUAAGAUUCCAGUUGUUAGAUUUAUUUUAGGAAUCAAAGGCAGUUCCGUGGCCUGUGCCACUGGUAAAAACAACUCAUAUUGCUCUCAAGUCUGUAUGGCAUCACUGCGUGUGCUCAAAAUGAGUAGACCUGUAUUAUGUUUUCCAGGCACCCUGUUUAAAUGCUCUGAAGUUUGUACAGCUGGAAUAUAAACCCUACCUUCCUCACACCGAAUGAAUGGCUGGAGAAGAGCCCUAAAGGCGUGUUCACACCGGUGACACACUACCAGCAGAGACUGCCGUUAAAGACCAUUGCCCCGAUCUUAUCGCACGAAACAACAGCCACGAACAGAGGUGCCCUCCCGCCUCGGCAGCCCUGCCGUACAGCUGCAGGCUGGCUGCGGGGCUCCAGCGCCCAGCAGAGGGAGGCAGAGCCCGCCGCAACCGCUCUGCUCUCUGCUUGGAGCAUCCCUGCAGCUUGGAGGAACAACGCGGUCCCCUCAAAGCCCGUCCAAAAACAACCAUCUCCAUCAGCUCCAGCAUUCUGAGGCAUGUCCGUCACUCUCAAAAGUAACCCGCGUGGAGAUAGCGUGUGGAGGUGCAGAUUGGUGAUGUUCCGGCAUGUCCUGCAAGCCAACCUGUCCACAAAAAUCUGCCAAGGGCCUCACAUCUCCACUCUGGGAGUCUGUCAGGUCAAGCCCCCUCUCCAAAAGCAGAACACAUCAGGCUGGAGGCACACAUCUGGCCAGCGGCACUUCCUAGUGGUGGUAUCUGUGGCCAGCAGAGCACACUCUGACACCUCUGAGGUUGGCUGAGCAGCUGUGGGCAUCCCAGGAGAGCAUCCAUCCACCAAGACACCCCACCAGACUUCAUUUCUCUGUUGCCUGCAAAAGGAGAAAGCUCACUGCAUCCACUGAGCCUCCUUGACACUGGGCUGUAUCCUUCGUAAAUAUAUAAGUAUAUCCUAUAUUUAUAUCUCAGCAUCUCUGCUGUCAGAACCAUAUCACAGACUGGGAUUUGCCCCACUAAAAGCCAGUCAUCCAAAGCAACCACAGAAGUUCCUUCUGUCAUAUUAUCUUGAGGCAGUAUGGGAUGAAACAUGAAAAGGAAACCGUGCAUGAGGCAGCCUGAUGGAGACAUGGCCUGGGAAGAUGCAGUGCUGCUUCUCCUUUUACAUUUGUUGCUAACACAAAGGCAGCUGCUGCUAUUACAGCAGCAUUAGCCAUGGUUAAUCAUGUAGCUCAACCUGUCAUGACUGCAAAAUAAUUGAUAUUGAUUCUGAUGUUGGCCUGGAGCUAAUAUGAUACCUUUUGAUAGGAAGAAAGUGUUUUGUCCACAGGUUUGAACUUCAAUUUCAGUUGAGAAAACAAUGAAGAUGUGGUUGAGAACAGCUUAUUUUUCUCUAUGUUUUCAACUAAAAAUGUCAGAUGAUUUCCCAUAAUUAACCAUUAUUGCAUAGAUGUGAAAAUCAUCAUCUGUUAUUUUCAAGGUAUUUCAGAUAUUAUUUUAAAAUAUUUCAAUUAAAAAACAAAACCACGAGGAAUGUCUGAAAAUAUAAAAAGUGAAAUAAAUUCAAAUUACUUAAACUCUGUCA